rnacentral:misc_RNA from 1 species
GGAGACUGAAAAUCCAUCAUGUAAGUCUAUUUAUCUGAACAGAACACGUAGAGUUUUUUGGAGUUGGAGCUGCAAUUUACUUUAUUCAGUCCUCUUCUCAUACAUUAGGGGAGCAGAGAUCAGUAGGUUCAUUUCAUUCUUUUGCUCAAGUGGCUCUCUUUUUUUCAAUAAUCUAUUACGUGGGUCUUGAUGUGCCAAUUGAGACUGCACAUUUUAAUAAUGUGUGGUUAUUUAGCUAGCUAAUACUAUAUGAACCAAGUUGUAGUUCAAUGUAAGUACAGGAGUUAAUGAAUUUUUUGUCUUAUUUACUUUUCUUUUUCGUUUCUCCUCAUAAAGAGUAUACUUUGGUAGCUUUUGACAUGCUGAGAUGCUAAUAGAUUCUUUUGACACAUGAUUUAACAUAAACAAGGCUUCUUAUAUUAUCUGAUUGAUGAUUUUCUUUAUGCUUAAUCAUUUUUCUUCCUGACUGCAAAAUUGCACCAAUAGCAUGAAGAAGUUUUCUGUAAUUUGCUGAUGCAGGAUUAAAAUUUUUAGUUUGAUUAUUUUGUUUUUAGUGUUCUAUAAUAGCACACUGUCAAUGUAAUCCAUAUACUCUUUGUUGGGUGUAACAUUCAAUCUUGACAUAAACUGCUUUAUUAUGUGCAGUUGUCAAUUGUCAGUUGAAAAUUUAUUUGCUGUUGGUUUUACUUAACUAAGGCAGUGUGCUAAUUACUAGGCCAUGGAUAUGCAGAUUAAUAUAACACCUUCAAUUAUGUACUCUAUUCAAUCUCUCACUUCAUAAUUUUUCCAUGUAGGAUAAUGUUGUUUUAUUUCUUCAUGGUUUUCUUGAAACUGGUGAAGACUGGAUGUCUAUCAAGAAGGCCAUCUCAGGAUCUGCAAGAUGCAUUUCAAUUGAUCUUCCUGGCCAAGGGGGAUCAAAGAUGCAAAACUGUGAAGCAAAGGAAGCAACUUUGUCAGUUGAAAUAGUUGCACAUAAAUUUUAUAAGGUGAUUCAAGGCAUAACUCCUGGAAAGAUUGUUGUUGUUGGAUAUUCAAUGGGGGCAAUGAUUGUGUUGUGGAUGGCAUUGAGGCAUGUUGAUAAGAUCAAUGCAGUCAUUCACAGGAAAACAUUAAUCCCGUUUGUGCAGAGUCCUCAACUGAUUUUCUUUGAGUCCCCCAACCUUGACGAGAGCUUGAAUGCACCGAACUCUAGCUGCCCUUUGCAGUGUGGCAAUGAUUUGUAUUUUUUUUGAUCCCUUGGCAUCUGCUACUGUCGAGAAAGAUUUGUUGGGAGAGUGUGUUACUUCUGCACAAUGCGAGCUGGGUUUCCUAGAACCAGUUAUUUCUACCUUUGGCCCCCAUGCCAAGCAUGCUCACUUUGAGCCCCUUAAUCUUUCAUCCCCAAGCCUUGUUCAUUUAACCAUGGUAGACCCUACUUGUGUUUCUGAGCCUUCUCCUAUUGGACCCUCAUUCAACGAAUUGGCUGUGGUACCAUAUAAGCCUAUUGAAGCUUCAUUGCUUUCAGCCCAAGAUAGGACUCCCAUCAACAUGCAUAGCUAUGUGAAAGUGGGUAGAUCACUUGAGCAAAGGAAAAUGAAGAACAAGCUAAUCUCAGAGCUUUUUGACUUCUCCCCAAAGCUCUCCUGAGUCGGCAAGAGGAAAGGAACCUUAAAAGGGAACAACUGAAAUAUUCAGAUGCAGUUGGAAGUCAAGUGGUUGAGCCAACAGAUAGUGAUAUCUGCUGCAUGAACUCUCCUCAUCGGAGCUUAAUUUCCAACCCCUUAGUGUCCCCUUGCAUCAUGGUAUCUUCUGACUAUCCACCUCUUCUUAACGCUGAGGAUGAAACUCAGAAAACUCUGGCGAUUGGCAAGGAGUUGGGACUAUCUUUCUCAAUCCCAGAUGAAAGAAGUUCAAAUCUUUCUAAAGCAAAUUCUUGAGGAGCAGGCUACUUUUAAUGGACUCGAUUGAUCUUCUGGGUUGUGUUUUGGUUGGGUUUAUGCUUUGUUGUUUUUUGUGCUUUUCGUUUCUUCUCUUAUUAGUAGAUGAUUUGGUUUUGUUGUUGAUUUGCAAUGUUCUGUUCUUGUACUUUUUGAUUGCUCCAGUUGGGAUUUUUUUUUGCCUUCUAAGUGUUUGUUCUUUUGUCUUAGUAAGUCUAACAGUAUCCAAAGUUUUUUUUUUUUUUUUUUGCCCGGAUUGGUGUUGUGAAGAACCCAUAUCAUUUGGGAGUGUGUGUACAGUAUUGGGUUAGCUUUUUUCAAUAUUAUCUGGUGUUUUAGCUAGGACGUGAGAAUGCUAUAAAGUUUAGUGCUCUUUCUUAUCAGCUCUAAAUCAUUUACACCAUGGAGCCGCUAUGACCAUAAACUA